rnacentral:rRNA from 1 species
UACGUAGGGCGCAAGCGUUGUCCGGAAUUAUUGGGCGUAAAGAGCUCGUAGGCGGUCUGUCGCGUCUGUUGUGAAAACUCGAGGCUCAACCUCGGGCUUGCAGUGGAUACGGGCAGACUAGAGUGCGGUAGGGGAGAAUGGAAUUCCCGGUGUAGCGGUGAAAUGCGCAGAUAUCGGGAGGAACACCGGUGGCGAAGGCGGUUCUCUGGGCCUUACCUGACACUGAGGAGCGAAAGCGUGGGGAGCGAACAGG